AUGAGAAUAAAAAUGGAACUUGCCUUCUAUUAUUACACCUGUCUUUGCCGCCUUGUAGGAUUGGCCAUGUCGGUGUCCCCGGGCCCCGCGGAACGGCUUUAGCGAACUCUACCACUGCUCUGCGGGCUAUCCCUCAGCAGCGGCUCGGGCAGCUGCCCAGCCCCGGAAAGCCGCGGUCACCAGCCGUGUGCGGCUCCUGCCACACGCAGGGCUGUGAAUGAGGGUGCCGGGACGGGCCCCGCGGCUUCCCCCGGACGGCUCUGGCCCGGCCCCGGCCCCGGCCCCGGCGAGCCCUGUGUGGGGCACGAGCCCUUCCUGGCGCCGCCGGGAGCCGCCCCCGCUCCGCGCCCGGCCCCGCGCUGUGGGCCCUUCGUUUGAAAAUAAAGCCGUCAUCAAAACCAUUCGGACACUGCAUGAAAGUCGCCUGUUCACACCCUGCAGUAUCUGAACAAGAACCUGGCCCAGAUCGUAUGUUCUGCAUCUCCAUCUGUGCUGGUUAAAAAGGAGGGUGAACUGCACUAGUAGGUGGGAAGGCCUUUGCUCUCUGCUGGAGCAGAGCGGGACAUGGUGCUAGAGCAGCAGAGUGAAAGAUGCCUCUCAUGCCUGCAGUGAAACUUAGCAGACAGAAGUUCCCCCAGAAGAGGGGAUCUAGUCCACAACAGAGGUCCCUGACUGUGCUGCAUCCAGUGUGUGAGCCUUUGUUUUCACCCCAGACAAUUCAUGAUGCUCGCUGCCCAGCAUUAAUGGAAUUGUGUUUCCUUGCA